rnacentral:lncRNA from 1 species
AAGACCCCCCUUAAAUAAAGUAAAGGCAGCUGAUCCCGAUUUCCUUGAUCCUUCAUCUGGCUGGGCUGUCGAUAGAGUAAGCUGGAUGUGCAAUUCGAUCUUGUAACCCACGAAAGCUCAAGAAAGAGAAUGUCCUCUCAAGGCCGGUCUUUCAACCGCCUCCUUGAAAAAUCACCUGACAUUCCUCUAGUUAACCUGUCGCGGGGCAGGGAGGUCCCUUCUUGCCUGUUAUGUUAGAAUGAAUUCUUUGACCAUCGAGAGGGAAGGUUUAAUAAGAGCCAGUAAAGCCAAUAGUAGAUAGCGGUUGACUUGCAGCUAGUCGAUAGGUGAUUGGAAAGCGAAGGUUGUCAAACUAUGGUCUGUUCCAGUUAUACUAGUACUAUAGUAGAGCCAGUUCCUCCCUACGGCCUGCUCCUCUCUCUGUAUAUUUUCUGUUAGAAGGAAGGCAAAAGCUGACUGGUGCUUUGUUUAGGGACGGGAGCAACUCCUUCUUUUCC